AAGAAAUAAUCAUGCAUUUCCUGCCUUUGAUGAGAGACAUGCUAUUGCUUUGUCAUCUCAUAGACAAAGGACAUUAGAUCAAGAUGAUUGGAAGCAAAUCCCUCUGGACAGCUGCCGUCCCAAACCUGAUGUGUGCUCGCUUUGAUGGUGGAGGAGGGGAGAAGACAGGAAGAAAGAAAAAGAACCGUCAGGAAUCAAGCGAACUGUCCUGAUUAAUCUUCCUUAGAACUACCAAUUCUAUGCACUUAAAGCCUUCACCAACUAAGCACUGAUGAUUCCAAAUGAAAAGGAAGACCAAUCAGAAAAGCAAUCUAGCCAUCAGAUGUUGGUGAACUAUUUGACCUGUGUGUACCACUGUGCUUCAGAUAUAGCUCAGUUGGUGUGACUGGCGGCAGAGGCUGCUGACAAUUCCUCUGGUGCCAUGAGAUGACAGAUCUCCCAUGCCAGACCCUCCUGCCUUAGGUACUAGGCUGCUAAUGGCCCAAAGCAAUGAAGCCAAGAGAUCAUGGACUGAAACUUCUGAAGCCAUGAGCUGAAAUAAACCUU